CCGUCCGCUCUUCCCGAAGUGAGCGAAUUGCAUGUAUAGAUCCGUAGGGGCUUAUAGUUUAAUUGGUUGAAACGUACCGCUCAUAACGGUUAUAUUGUAGGUUCGAGCCCUACUAAGCCUACCACCCCCUUCUCUUCACCCGAUACAAGGCAGUCGAAGUCCUCGCCACCCUGCGGAUCUCAAUCUAGCGACGGCACCUGGAACCACACUGCUGCCGCUGCCCUUCGGGCACGCCUCCUACGCUGACCACUCACCUACGCUCUUGCAGCAUGCCCCCUUCGGGCAAUAUGGCUUUCGUAAGUAAUACGUGAAGCGGCUGAGCGAUAGCUCUCUUCGAUCGCUAUAUUCUUGCGAUAGCGAAGGCGUGGUUCAUCCUCUAAGAGAGAGUAGAUGCGGAUCGAAGAUCUUCGCGAGACGGCCCAAGCGAAGAUCGGAACUCGAAGGCUUGAGGAGCUGCCGGGAAGCCGUGGAGACGGCGGACUCGCCAGUCAGGCACACCCUGAGGCUGACUACAGCAGACCGGGAGGUUACAAUUCCCGUUUUCCUGUUUCAAUUUCCGGGAGUGAAUGUAGGAAGUGUGGACGGUGGAUCAGGUGUGAACAUUCAACCUACAGGCUUCUUAGCC
rnacentral:tRNA from 1 species